GACGAACGCUGGCGGCGUGCUUAACACAUGCAAGUCGAACGGAAAGGCCCUGCUUUUGUGGGGUGCUCGAGUGGCGAACGGGUGCGUAACACGUGAGUAACCUGCCCUUGACUUUGGGAUAACUUCAGGAAACUGGGGCUAAUACCGGAUAGGAGCUCCUGCUGCAUGGUGGGGGUUGGAAAGUUUCGGCGGUUGGGGAUGGACUCGCGGCUUAUCAGCUUGUUGGGGGGGUAGUGGCUUACCAAGGCUUUGACGGGUAGCCGGCCUGAGAGGGUGACCGGCCACAUUGGGACUGAGAUACGGCCCAGACUCCUACGGGAGGCAAUAGGUGAGAAUAUUGCACAAUGGGCGGAAGUCUGAUGCAGCAACGCCGCGUGCGGAAUGACGGCCUUCGGGUUGUAAACCGCUUUCGCCUGUGACGAAGCGUGAGUGACGGUAAUGGGUAAAGAAGCACCGGCUAACUACGUG
rnacentral:rRNA from 1 species